rnacentral:lncRNA from 1 species
GCUCAGCUGGUAGUUUGACCUCCGUUGGUGCAAUGCCAGAGAUGGGAUUGUCAGCCACCACACUGCCACCACCCUGCACACAGUCUGGGUCCCUCCGAGAGAAGCACGCCAACCUUAACAUCCCCUACAGCAUCUUGGUGCUUCACACACCAUUUAGGAGGCCACCCUAACGAGGCAAGAGGACAUGGGGGUGUGCAGAAGUUCUGUUCUUAGUGAGAAUGGCUGGCCUGAGAAUCCAGCUCACCUCCUCUGCCCACAGUCUGGACUGCUUGUGGGAAGGCCAUCUCCUCCUGUCUGGUGGUACCUCCACUCUGGGCAGGGAGGGCCUGUCUGUGACUCGCUCUGGACCCCACUUCCCGCUCUGGCCAAGGGCUGUCUUCUGUGCACAUAGCUCAGGAGCCUGCAGCAGUUCCCUGUAUGGGUGGAUGUCCUCAGGGGCCAAGAAGAGAAGAAUGGGGACAACAGAAACCUGCUUUGUAGGGGAUUAUGUAGACUAAAAGCCUAGAAGUUCUGCCCACAUCCUUAUGACGCAGCCAAUCUGGAGCUUCAUGUUUCCUUCUAAAAGUAGUAACCGGGUAGAAGUGGGUGACCCAUUGAGGACACAUGAUGUGAGGUAUUUCUGCCGGAUUCUAGGUUAGCAAAGACUCAAAUGGGUGACUCAUGAAUGAAGGGAGAACAGGCACAGGACUUAAUGAAAAGAGUUUCUUGAACUUAGUUUUCUGAAUGGGGGUGGGGAGUUGGGGCACGUGUGUGUAAGGGGAGGCUGCCUCACUUUGAAGGAAUGGUGUUGGCUAACAGGAUCCAUGAAAUUCCUAGGUCAGUUGAAUAAUAACUGAACUACUGGUUUGACUGUGGAUUAUUUCCUGGGUAUUAGUGGGACCCAACAGCACAUUGCUAUUAAUAGUAUGGAAAUAAUGGUCCCUCUGUUUCAUUGAAUUGCUGAAGUAAUGAUAAUGCCAUGAACCAGGAGAAGAUGGUUGUGGGGGUUUCUAGGAAGCAGCUGCUGUGACAGGCCAAUCCCAGGCUUGCCCCCGAGCCCUCCUGUCCUUCUGGGUUUGUGUUUGCCUUGCCUGGUGCUUCCUCCCUCAUUGUGUUGUUGAAUAGACCUAGGCAGCCUUGUAUCCAUAGAAAGCCUCCACUGCUGGGCCGGGGAGGGGGUUGUGGUAAGGGCCCUCUGGAAAUCAAGCAGAGAAUGCCUUUGCAGUGGUCUCCCGGGCAUUGGGCAGGGCCUAGCCUUUUGCAGCCCCCAGAGGACCUUGCCUGCAUAAAGCACUCAGAAGGGUUAGCCACCUGGUGAUUUUGUCUCUAGUGAAACUGUGUUUGCCGAUAAUCAUCCACAUAGCCACCUCUGUCCUCGCAGUUUGGAUGCCUUUUUUUGACACCUGCGCUAGGUUCUUGUAUGCUGGCUUUUCUUAAAGGAACAGCAGAGUAGAAAAGAGGUUGAGAAUGUUUUCUAGCAGGCAGAAUGUGCAUACAUGUUUUCAUGAGUGUCCUUUGGGUGCUGUUUCUUUUAAAUCCUCUGUGCACAGGGCUCUGGCCUUUAGUAAACUGUUUUUCUGUCUUACGUCAUGCUGACUGGGUGCUAGGGGCUGAUUACAAAGGGGAAGAGUUGAACAGACAUCAGGGGCCGAUGAAACCAAAGGACUAGGAGUCAGGAGAACAAGUCAGGGAUUAGGAGACAGCGGUUUGGUUUAUUGUUAUCCAGCUGGAGGACUCCUAGGGGCAGCAGCAGGAGGAAUACCAGGGCCACGGAGGGGCCAGGAGUCUCACAGUGGAGGGCAGACUCUAACAGAUGCCAGCUGAACGCUCGCUGGCCCUGGAUGUCAUACGAGUUGGGGACCAGAAAUCUGGGCUCAGAGAACCCGUCCAGGGAGAUUUGAAGCCAUGGGUUAUCUUCUAGAGUUGAUACUGAUAAUAUAUUUUAAUUUUUAUUGAUGUUUAAUACCUUCUGAAACAGGAGGGUAAGAUCAGAUGGGAAGCCCCUCUGUUGAAGGAUCUUGGGAACCUUGGUGGUUUUUUUUUUUUUUUUGGUUUUUUUUUUUUGAUCGAGCUGUGGACAUCCUUCUUAAUUCGAUUCUGAGGAUUUGUUUAACUAAAAAGUUCCCAAACACAGAAAGGGCCUCCCCACCUGCUUUGGGGAGCUGUCUGUGCUGGGAGUGCCAGGCAUCCCAUGGGACCCAUCACUGCCAGUGUCUGUGCCUCCCAGAGGUCAGCCGUGUCUGCCCUGGCUCUGUCUCCUCUGUGACAGGGCAGAGCAUUUCUGGUCAGUUUCUCCAUGGUGCCUCCCACCCCUUUGUAAAGUGGAUGGACAUGAUGGAAUUCAGUUGUCUCACCCUGAUAGCCUGGGUGUUGAUAUUCACUUUACCCGCACUCAGACACAGGCGACCUUGAAGCAGUUCUCGGUGUGUAGAGUCCACGUGACAGUCCCCACAGCCUCCCCAGAUAGCUGUGUGCCUGUGCGCUACUGCUGUGCCAUUUUCCCAACUUGGCGUUUCACUAAAUGCAGCUGAUCUCUCUCUCUGUGCACUCGUGAUCCAUGUUGAACAAUACAUGUAGGUUCUUUUUCCACGCAAUGUAAGAACAUGAUAUACUGUACGUUGGAAAGCAUUUACCUUAUUUAUAUACCUGAAUGUUCCUACUACACAAAUAAACAUAUAUUAAAUUCU